rnacentral:rRNA from 1 species
UACGGAAGGCAGCAGUGGGGAAUAUUGCACAAUGGGCGAAAGCCUGAUGCAGCUAUGCCGCGUGUAUGAAGAAGGCCUUAGGGUUGUAAAGUACUUUCAUCGGGGAGGAAAAAACAAAACUAAUAAUUUUAUUUCUUGACGUUACCCGAAAAAGAAGCACCGGCUAACUCCGUGCCAGCAGCCGCGGUAAUACGGAGGGUGCUAGCGUUAAUCAGAAUUACUGGGCGUAAAGAGCACGUAGGUGGUUUUUUUAAAGUCAGAUGUGAAAAUCCCUGGGCUUAACCUAGGAACUGCAUUUUGAAACUGAAAUACUAGAGUAUCGUAGAGGGAGGUAGAAUUCUAGGUGUAGCGGUGAAAUGCGUAGAUAUCUGGAGGAAUACCUGUGGCGAAAGCGGCCUCCUAAACGAAUACUGACACUGAGGUGCGAAAGCGUGGGGAGCAAAACAGGGAUUAGAUACC